CCCUUAGAGUUUGAUCCUGGCUCAGGAUGAACGCUAGCUACAGGCUUAACACAUGCAAGUCGAGGGGCAGCGAUGAAGAAAGCUUGCUUUCUUCAGGCGGCGACCGGCGCACGGGUGAGUAACGCGUAUCGAACCUGCCUCAUACUCAGGAAUAGCCUUGCGAAAGUAAGAUUAAUGCCCGAUGUUAUUAGGAUAUCACAUGAUGUUUUAAUUAAAGAUUUAUCGGUGAUGGAUGGGGAUGCGUCUGAUUAGCUUGUUGGCGGGGUAACGGCCCACCAAGGCGACGAUCAGUAGGGGUUCUGAGAGGAAGGUCCCCCACAUUGGAACUGAGACACGGUCCAAACUCCUACGGGAGGCAGCAGUGAGGAAUAUUGGUCAAUGGGCGAGAGCCUGAACCAGCCAAGUAGCGUGCAGGAUGACGGCCCUAUGGGUUGUAAACUGCUUUUAGUUGGGAAUAAAGUGCACCACGUGUGGUGUUUUGUAUGUACCAUCAGAAAAAGGACCGGCUAAUUCCGUGCCAGCAGCCGCGGUAAUACGGAAGGUCCAGGCGUUAUCCGGAUUUAUUGGGUUUAAAGGGAGCGCAGGCGGACCUUUAAGUCAGCUGUGAAAUACGGCGGCUCAACCGUCGAACUGCAGUUGAUACUGGAGGUCUUGAGUGCACACAGGGAUACUGGAAUUCAUGGUGUAGCGGUGAAAUGCUCAGAUAUCAUGAAGAACUCCGAUCGCGAAGGCAGGUAUCCGGGGUGCAACUGACGCUGAGGCUCGAAAGUGCGGGUAUCAAACAGGAUUAGAUACCCUGGUAGUCCGCACAGUAAACGAUGAAUACUCGCGAUUUGCGAUACACAGUAAGUCGCCAAGCGAAAGCGUUAAGUAUUCCACCUGGGG
rnacentral:rRNA from 1 species